ensembl:snRNA U6 U6 spliceosomal RNA
UGCUCGCUUCAGCAGCAGUAUACUAAGAUUAAAAUUAUACAGAGAGGAUAAGCAUGGCCCCUGCACAGAAUGACAUGCACAUUUGUGAAAGCAUCCCAUAUUUUU